rnacentral:rRNA from 1 species
UACAGAGGGGGCAAGCGUUAUUCGGAAUUAUUGGGCGUAAAGGGUGCGUAGGCGGGUCUUUUAAGUCAGGGGUGAAAUCCUGGAGCUCAACUCCAGAACUGCCUUUGAUACUGAAGAUCUUGAGUUCGGGAGAGGUGAGUGGAACUGCGAGUGUAGAGGUGAAAUUCGUAGAUAUUCGCAAGAACACCAGUGGCGAAGGCGGCUCACUGGCCCGAUACUGACGCUGAGGCACGAAAGCGUGGGGGAGCAAACAGG